CUUUCGUGGAGAGACAGGAUCUGAGGAAGGGAAGGAGUUCAUUAUUAUUCUCUGAAGUCAUCAGGGAGCACCAAGAGGGUGGGAUUUCAGGAAGUAUUUAAAUGAAAGGAGACACAUGGCUUGGCACAGUGAGAGGGAGGUUUUCCAGGCUUCCUGUGCUGUCUUGGGGACCUGCUCAGAGGCUGGACCGCGUCAUGCUCAGAAGGCCCUGUUUUCUUUAGACGCUGACUCCUGCUGUCUACCAGAUCCUCGUGGUACAAUGACUGGUGUAGACUGGCUUGUUGAAGUCACUCUCUGGAUCUGAGCAACGCUGGCUGAGCCGUGAUGAAGUAUUCCUAUCCAUCCACUAUGCUUCACAGUGGGAAUCUCUCACUGUUCAUCACCGCUGCCCUAGCAGCCGCAGCUAACAUCUUCUAGUCAAACAACUCUCCUUUUCAAAGGGACCAGGCACAGUUUCUGCUUAUCCCUGAGUAGCAGUGUUCAGUUUCCUGCCAGCCUGUGGAGUUUUUCAAACAAGCCAAUCACCUCCUCCUGUGGGAACUGAGAAGCACCCCACCCUCUCGAUACUACAAAGCCCCUGCUUGUUCCCUAGUGCAACUCCCAUGUGGUCCUGUGGAGCAUAUGGUAUCUUCCUCUUCUGGGCAGUGAGCAUAUGUGACUAAUAAACUAUCUAUCUCAUCUGUUCA
rnacentral:lncRNA from 1 species